GGGAACCUAUGAAAUUAUCAUAAGAAUAAGUGGAGCUGCAAACUGUACAGGAUUCUAAAAGCUGCAGGAGCCUGACUCAGGAGCGAUCCCAAUGAUCAACAAGUCAAUAACUGCAGAGUGCUUCAAACAGUGCUGGGUUCAUGCUGAUGGCACUGGAGGAAGAGCGCAACAGAAAUGGAGCAUGUGCUCAUUGUUUGUGAUCCUGGAUGGCUAACUGCAAGUUAACCAAACCCAGAAACUACAAGAGGGAAGGUAAUUUUGGGGGAUCUUAGAGUGGCAAGUCACAGGUUCAUAGAGCUCUGAAUCGGUGUCCCAACAUAGGUAGGAAAAGUGGGGACUUAUAUACACGGUUGAAGGUUGAGAAGGAUCAAGUUGAGGAGGAACAUGGACUGUACAACCAAAAUCAAUAAGAAACAAAGAAAAGAAUGUAUAAACAGAAUGGAAA